rnacentral:lncRNA from 1 species
GUUCUCAUUGGCCUGGUUUCCCCCUUGAGACUGGGGAUGAGGAAAAUCAAACAGCAACUACCAUUUCCUGGGUGUCCUGGGUGUUUACAGCAGGCCCCUUACUAGGGAUUAACACAAAAACAACAGCGAUAACAAAUCUCAUUUAAACCUCACAAAUAUAUGUAAAACAAUACCACCCCUGUUUUACAGAUGUGAAAAAGGAGGCCCAAAGAGAACUCAAGCAAUUUGCCCUAAAUCAUAUCCCUAGCAGAUGGAGAGGUAGGAUUCGAACCCAGAAUUCUUAACCAGUACCCGACAGUUCUUCCACAAUCUUAACAAUUACCCUCUACUGCCCUUUGGGCCCCCUGCCCUCAGGAGCCUGGUCAGCCAAGACUCACAUCCCCAGGUGAGUGGCAACCACCAGAAGUGGUUGUCUUAGUGCUACUGCCAUUUUUUUUCGUUUUCUUCCUCUUUAUUCCUGCCAAACAUCAGGGCUGUUCCUCUGCUGAUAUUCUCUCAACUUUGGAAAAGAAGAGCAGUAAUACUCAUGAGAACUGCAAGCCCCUACAGUCACAUCGUACGUUACAGUUUUUACAAAAUACUCUUAUAUACCAUCUGAUUUAAUGCCACCAACAACUGUACAAGGUGUUGUCACAAUCACUUAGUGACAGACAGGGAUUGAUAUGAUGGCUACAAAAAAAAAGGCAAUAAUGAAACUUAAACUCAGUCUUCUGAUCCAAGCUCUGGGGUUUUGCCAUGAAUCAGCAGCUGCCAGGGACCAAAACCAGAGGCAGAGGUAGAAAAGUAAACAUGAAAUAGGCAGGAACUGUACACUGUGCAGUUUAGAGUCACACAUCCUCACACGUCUGUUAGAGUAAGAAGUGCACCAGCACCUCUUAAACUUUUACAUCAAUGUAUCUUCAUGGCAGAAGGCAGCCUUUCUGUUAAAUCUGGGAAUUUAUCAGAAAGAGGACAACCCAAGCCUCAUUUCAGAGAGAAGUCUGGUAUACUCUUAGAAAUCUAUGUGACUGUCACCCCUAAGUAUAUUAUUUUUUCUCUUUCAAGAGAAUCAAGCGAAACUGAUGCUUCAGAAAGAUGCCCCAUAUUUAUCCUGUGCCACGCAAAGUACCCUAGGUUGACAUGAGAUGAGGAAGAUUCAAGCUGUCAAGUUCAGUUUCCCAAGAUCUGUUCCACAGAAGAUGAGCAGAUCUCACUCCAGAGACCACUGACUGAAGGGCACUCUGGUCUCAGAACCAUGGAGAACUCAAAUACGAGAAAUUCUACUUCUAUGAAUUCAGUCAUAAAAUGCUUGCUCGAGUCCAUUAAAAUGUAUAUAUGAGGAAAUUCACCUCUGGGGUGGCAAUGAUUAACUUAAUAUACAUCCAGCUAUUAAAAAUGAUGAUGCCAGGAUAUAUUUACUGCCAUAGAAGCAAGCCCAAAAUAUAGUAAGUGACAAAAGACUAUAUAUUAUGAUUCUACUUUUUACAAUGCUUAUAUGCAUAAAGUAUAAAAAGCAACAAACCAGAAUGUUUUGAGUGGCAAAAUUGAAGAUGUUUCUUUAUAUUUUGUCAUCCAAAUUAUUACAUAAAAAAUGUGAUUUCCUUCAUAAUCAGGAAGAAGUGUUAUUUUCAUUUACUUACAUUUAAAUUUCUUUCUCUUACUUUUUCUCGUGAACAUAUCCCAUGUAGGCUAGAGAGGUAGAAUCCCUGCCUCUUGAGGUCAUUCAGUCCAUUUUUGGAAUGUGCACUACACAAAGCUGCCCCAUCUUCCUUUUAUUUUAAAAUGUCUGGAAACAUUUUUGUUUUAAAUUGUUUUAUUGUUCUCAGAGUGUUUUUAAAAAAUAUAUGAAAUAGAGGAAAAGGCAAAGGAAAGGCUGACUCCCCAACUUCCUGGGGCUGCUCUUCCAAUUUUUGCUGCUAUUGCUAUGUAUUAAUAUUCACUGGGUACUAAAAAGAUGGGCAGCCCCUUAGAUACUUUUUUCUUAUCUCUUUCUCAUAAUCUCAAUUCAUUCCUUCAUUCACUUAUUCUUAAAGGGGUUAUGUGUACAAAUACAUAGUUCAAAAAAUUUAAAAAUAUAACUAUAAAAGUAUGUGGCAAAAUCCCAUUCAUAUCCUAUUCUCCCUCCACAGCCAAACACUUUUAAUUGGUUUCUUAUGUAUCAUUUUGGAAUUUAUAUUUGCAAAUACACAUGUAUAUUCUUAUUCUACUCUUCUCUCUCAACACAGAAAGUAGCAGACCAUAUAUAUUAUACCAUUCCUUGUUCCUUUUUAAAAACACACAAAAUAUAUCUGAGUUCUUCUACAUGAGUACAUAGGUCUUUCUCAUUCUUCUUUACAACUACACAGUAUUCCAUCGUUUGGAUGUACCAUAGUUUAUUGAACCAGUUCCCUGUUGGUGGACACUGAAGUCAUCCUUAUCAUACUAUCACAAACAAUAUUGGCAAGGCAAGCAUAACCACCUACACACACCAAGUUCAUUUCUGAAUGUGCCUUUGAUGAAGCUUCUGUUUAAAUCUCCACAAGAUCACAAGGCUGAAAAGUUAGCCCCUUUUUCAGUUUUCAUUAUGUACAGCAGUAUGUAGCAAAAGACUCCCUUGAGCAAAGCAAAUGUACUCUUUGAGGAUUUAUUUCAUAAAAUAAAUGGAUAAACAGAACACCCAGCAUAACAAUUUCUAUUUAACAAUGCAUAUGUAUGUAUACAAUACAUGCAUAUGCAUAGAAAGUAUAAAAUAAAUCCGUCAAAGCAUUAAGCAUUGUCUCAGUAUGCUGGACCUAUGGAGUGCUUUGUAGAUUCCCCCUCCUUGUCUAUCAGUUCUAAUUUCACAACAGUGAAUAUGUACAAUUUUUGCAAUAUAAAAUUUCAAAAAAUGUUAACUCACAUUAAGCUGGAUACAUUCUUUCAGUCUGUCCUACAUUUGUAUAGUGCUCCAGUGUGUUCAAAUAUCACUUCAUUUUAAAAUAUUUUUUUUCAAAUAUAGAGACAGACAGGGUCUUGCUCAGUCGACCAAGUUGGUCUUGAACUCCUAGAUUCUCCUGGAUCCUCCCACCUCCGCCUCCCAAAGUGCUGGUAUUACAAGUGUGAGCCAUCACGCCCAACCAGCUUCAUUUGAGAAACCUUUCCCAAGCACUCCAUAUAUUACUAAUUAUUCCUUUCUUCAUUUUUAUAUAGGAUUUUCUUCAUAUCUCUAUUACCUCACUUGUCACAUGAUAAUCAGUUACUCACCCAUCUGUCUCCCUUGAUUGCUCGUGGGCUCCUUGAGCAAUGUGCGACCUUGAACAGUGUGUGACACAUACAUGCUUCCUACACAGAGAAGGAAAUGAUUUCGCUACAGUGUCAAUCAUUACCAGAAUUCAAUACCUGUAUUUCUAAAUCGUUCUAGAUACUCUGCCAACAACUUGAGAAUGUUACGCUCUUUCCCUAAAACUUCCAUCCAUUCCAGCCAUAGUUAACUCAAUUGUGACAUGCUCUCUGGCCAAGCCCAUUUGUAGUUUUUUCUUUAGGUGAUUUUUAAUUUUAAUUUUUGAUUUUGAUUGUUUGCUUUUUGGUAUUUUUUAAUCUAGGAGUGUUUGGUAAACUUCACCAUGUCUAUAUGUCUGUGUCUUUGCACCUGGUGGUCUCUGCUUGGAAUGAUGUCUCAAGGUUUUAUUCACCUGGAAAGAAUUCCUACUCACCCUUAAAGACUCAGCUUAAAUAACCCCUUCUCUGGUAAACCUUUACAUUCUCCCAUUCUUUCAGUAAGAGUUGAGAAUUCCUCUACUCUUGAAAUGUUUGUGCCUCUAUUACUAUGUAUCAGGCAGUGAACUAAGCGUCUAGGAUAGAAAGAUGAAACGGUAGAACCUGCCCUCAUGGAGCGCAUGGUCUAGUAUGGAAAACAGCCAUAUGAACAAAUAACCACACUAUAAUAUUAAAUGCAAUACCAAAAGGGAAAUGUAUUGAAUAUUUGACAUGUGUCAAUUACCUUGUUAGAUACCUUAUUAACAAUUAUCUAUGAUCAUAUUAGAUACGUAUUUGAAUUGGACAGAAGGCCAUGAAACUCUAGGACUGCUAGAGUUUGUUAUGCUCUCAAUUGUCUUCUAAAGAAACUGUCUCCUAAUGGUUCUUUCUGAAUAUGCUAUAGUCAUACAACUAUUGUGCAACUGUAGCAUACACAAAAAGCAUAUCUGUAGCAUACUCAUGUGACCAAUAAUGCAUAAAACCAACCUUACUUCUUUGGCCACAAGUAACUGGACCAAGGCUCAGUGUUUCAGCUAAGGACAACAUAUAGGUUGAACUUCAGGGACAAUCGCCAAGGACAUGGCAUGGCUCAAAAUUCUCUCUAAUAGGGGCCUUCCGUUUUUAGAAGGUGACAGGCUAACCCAAUCAGAUAUUCUCUCUUGGAAAAUACAAAUGUUGGGUGAACAAAGGAAAAGAGGGCAGGUUUUCAGAGCUCAAAUCCUAUCCUAAAUACUGCUAAAUUAAUGUUCUGUGAAGUUUUGAAAGUACUAGGGCCAAGAAACAAUAUGGCUACUUAGAUGACUUCCCAUCCAAGUUUACAUUCGGCCCUCAUUACCAAAGGUGAUAAGUGUGUGCCUCUUCCUUGCAACCCAUCAGGGUCUAACACAUCAUAUCGCCACUUCUGAAAUUAGGAAAUAGGCUCAGAAGUCCAAGAGCUUGACCAGAGUAAUUCACUUGGUAGGUAGCAGAACCAGAAUUCAAAGAGCAAGUCGGCGUGAUUCUUCUCCAAUAUCCUGCCAGUUACAUGGGCAAGUGGCCUCAAAAUCAACAAAAGACAAGUAGAGGUUGACAUGUGUCAAUGGAAAGAGGCUCAAAAGGAAGAGUUUGUACACAAGAAUAGAACAGAAACGUUCUGGAAGUAUGUCUGGGGAUGUGAAGUAGGAAGGGGCACACCAGGUUUCACCUUGGUCAAGUGACUGUCUAAUUCCCCCGAGCUCCAGACUCAGCUAUCUGUCUUUCUCACUCUAAUAUAAAAUCCACAGGGCAGGACCUUAAUCUCUAGCUUGUUCACCACAGAUUAAAGCAGAGUCUGGCUUAAUAGUAAGUGCUUAAUAAAUAUAUGAAUGAAUAAAUGAAUGAACAUUCCACAUUGUUGGGGGAAGGGGUUAUCAUGAACCAGACCCUAGCAGUCACUUACAAAUACAGUUGAUCCUCAUUAUUUGUGGAUCCUAUAUUUGCAAAUUUGCUUACUUGCUAAAAUGUGUUUGUAAUCUCCAAAUUAAUACUUGUGGAGCUUUCAAGGUGAUUCAUGGACAUACACACAGUAGUGAAAAAUCUGUCACUCCUUAUGCACGUUCCAAGCUAAGGUCAAAUAAGGUGACCCUGGGCCUCCUUGUUUCAGCUCUCAUACAAAGAUGACCCAAGGACAGAGGCAACAGAGGGCAGUGCAGGGUAGUGCAAGAAGCUCUGGCUCUAGGACUAAUUGGACGAGGUCUGAAUCUUAACUCUGGCACCUGUUAGUGAAGCAGCCUCAAGCAAAUCACUUAAUGCUUCUGUACUUCCUUUAUUGUUUUGUAAAUAAAGAAAAUUCAAUCUACCAAGAUGAGUUGUUUUUAGGAAUUAAGAUUAUAACCUAUGUGAGAUAUGUGUAUAUGUGCAUAUUUUCCCUAGGAACAAGGGUUUAGUAUUUCUUUAAUUCAGUGUUCUAGGCAACUUUACAGAAUAUAACUACUGCAAAUAACGAGAAUUGACUGUAAUUAUAAGGACAUAACAGAGAAGUAGACACAACAAUUAUUUGGAUGAGGUAGAGGCAGGCUUCAAGAAGAUUUUGAAGAAAUAGAAUUUACCAGGCACAUAAGGUAUGGAAAAGGCUUGCAAGGAGAGAGAAUGGCACCUACAGACAGAGGUCCAGAGGGCGGGAAAAAAAGGUCGGUUCAGGAAAUGGCACUUCAGGAAGUCUAGAGCAGUAGAACAUGAGGCCAGACACGGUGCCAUAGUGCUUCUGCACCCUGUGUACACCCUGUACUGCAGAACCUCACUCUCUGCAUUUAAUCUUGGUUUCUAGUUCUCUCUUCUAUUAAACUGUGAGCUCCUCAA